AUGGCCGUCGCCGUCGCCGAUGAGGCCGCGACGCGCCGCGGCGAGCGUGGCGACGGCGAAGGGAAGGCGGCGGCGGGGGACGCGGGGGCGGCGUUCGUGCUGGAGUCCAAGGGGACCUGGUGGCACGCGGGGUUCCACCUCACCACGGCCAUGGUGGGGCCGGCGGUGCUGUCGCUGCCGUACGCGCUCCGGGGCAUCGGCUGGGCGCUGGGCCUCGCCACGCUCACCGCGCUCGCCGCCGUCUCCUUCUACACCUACUACGCCAUGUCCCGGGUGCUCGACCACUGCGAGGCCGCCGGCCGCCGCCACAUACGCUUCCGCGACCUCGCCGCCGACGUCCUCGGUUCUGGAUGGGCGUUCUACCUAAUGGUGGCCGUGCAGGGUGCUAUCAACGUCGGGGUCACCAUUGGCAGUAUCUUGCUCGCCGGCAACUCUCUACAGAUUAUGUACAGCAGCUUGGUGCCAGAUGGCCCUUUGAAGCUGUACCAUUUCAUCAUCGCCGUCGCCUCCGUGCUGGCUCUCUUGUCCCAGAUGCCCUCAUUCCACUCGCUGCGGUACAUUAACCUCGGCUCGUUGGUCCUUAGCGUCGGCUACACCAUCCUCGUCUCCGCCGCUUGCAUUCGGGCAGGUCUCUCGAGCAAUGCUCCGGCGAAGGAUUACUCGCUGAGCACAUCCAAGUCGGAGAAGACUUUCGACGCCUUCCUCUCCGUCUCCAUCCUAGCCGCCGCGUUCGGCAACGGCAUCCUGCCCGAGAUCCAGGCCACGCUGGUACCUCCGGCGGCGGGGAAGAUGGUGAAGGCGUUGGUGAUUAACUACUCGGUGGCCUUCUUCACCUUCUACCCGCUGGCCAUCACCGGCUACUGGGCCUUCGGCCAAACGGUCCAGUCCAACGCCAUCCAAAGCCUGAUGCCGAACGCAGGACCCUCGCUGGCGCCGAGGUGGCUGCUCUGCCUCACCGUCGUGCUCGUCCUCUUCCAGCUCUUGGCCAUCGCGCUCCUCUACGCGCAGGUGGUGUACGAGGUCAUGGAGAAAAGGGUGGCGGACGCGACACGGGCGAGGUUCUCGUGGCGAAACCUGUUGCCGCGGGUGGCGAUGCGGACCUUGUACGUGGCGGUCUGCGCAUUUGUGGCGGCGGCGCUGCCGUUCUUCGGCGAGAUCGUGGGCGUGGUCGGCGCCGUGGGGUACAUCCCGCUCGACUUUAUACUCCCCGUCGUCAUGUACAACAUGGUGGUGUCGCCGCCUAGGAGGUCGGUGGUGUAUAUGACCAACGUGGCGAUCAUGGUCUUGUUCACCGGCCUCGGGGUCAUUGGCGCCGUCGCAUCCGUGAGGAAGCUCGUGCUCAAUGCCGGGCGUUUCAAGCUCUUCAACGACCAUGUCGUCAAAUGA
rnacentral:rRNA from 1 species